AAGAAAAUGGACUACUGCAUGUUUGUUGCUUCUGUGAGUGAUUGAUUAAAAACUGGUGAAUACCACCCCAAGGGCUCUUUUCAGAGCCACAUACCCAUCGUCUUUGGCUUUCCGCUGAACACCAUCCCAAAUGCUCUUUUUAGAGCCAUAUUUCACAUCAUCUUUGGCU